rnacentral:misc_RNA from 1 species
GAUGAAGAACGCAGCGAAAUGCGAUAAGUAAUGCGAAUUGCAGAAUUUCCGUGAGUCAUCGAAUCUUUGAACGCACAUUGCGCCCACUGGUAUUCCGGUGGGCAUGCCUGUCCGAGCGUCAUUACAACCCUCAAGCUCAGCUUGGUGUUGGGCCCCGCCGCCCCGGCGGGCCCUAAAGUCAGUGGCGGUGCCGUCCGGCUCCGAGCGUAGUAAUUCUUCUCGCUCUGGAGGUCCGGUCGUGUGCUCGCCAGCAACCCCCAAUUUUUUUCAGGUUGACCUCGGAUCAGGUAGGGAUACCCGCUGAACUUAAGCAUAUCAAUAAGCGGAGGA